AUUGAACGCUGGCGGCAUGCCUUACACAUGCAAGUCGAACGGUAACAGGUCUUCGGAUGCUGACGAGUGGCGAACGGGUGAGUAAUACAUCGGAACGUGCCUAGUAGUGGGGGAUAACUACUCGAAAGAGUGGCUAAUACCGCAUGAGAUCUACGGAUGAAAGCAGGGGAUCGCAAGACCUUGUGCUACUAGAGCGGCCGAUGGCAGAUUAGGUAGUUGGUGGGAUAAAAGCCUACCAAGCCGACGAUCUGUAGCUGGUCUGAGAGGACGAGCAGCAAAACUGGGACUGAGAAACGGCCCAGACUCCUACGGGAGGCAGAAGGGGGGAAUUUUGGACAAUGGGCGAAAGCAUGAUCCAGCAAUGCCGCGUGCAGGAUGAAGGCCUUCGGGUUGUAAACUGCUUUUGUACGGAACGAAAAGCCCCGGGUUAAUACCCUGGGGUCAUGACGGUACCGUAAGAAUAAGCACCGGCUAACUACGUGCCAGCCGCCGCAGUAA
rnacentral:rRNA from 1 species